rnacentral:rRNA from 1 species
UACGUAGGGUGCGAGCGUUAAUCGGAAUUACUGGGCGUAAAGCGUGCGCAGGCGGUUCGCCAAGUCAGGUGGGAAAUCCCCGGGCUUAACCUGGGAAUGGCCAUGGAAACUGGCGAACUGGAGUGUGGCAGAGGGGGGUGGAAUUCCGCGUGUAGCAGUGAAAUGCGUAGAGAUGCGGAGGAACACCGAUGGCGAAGGCAGCCCCCUGGGCUAACACUGACGCUCAGGCACGAAAGCGUGGGGAGCAAACAGG